rnacentral:lncRNA from 1 species
AGUGUAAGUAGUCGCCAUGUUUCUGUCGCUAUCACUUUCUUGGGGGUGUCACUGAUCACUGGCUAUUGCGACUACCAGACGCUCUGGACACUUGGAACGCUCCUGAGUUUGCGGCUGGGUCCACUUCCUGAAUGAUACUAGGAUCCCCGCCUCUGGUUUCUUUUGGCUGCCCCCGAGCUACCUCAGUCUUUUUCAAUGUCAGGCGGUCCAAGUUCCCUGUGGUGAAAAUGGAGCCCAGUGAGUCGUGCCCAUGGCAGCGCACCUGGUUUUGCAGCCUGGGCAGGUCACAGGUGCAUCUUCCACGGGGAUUUGAGCCAGCGUGCACCCCCAUAGCGCGACUGAGAUUCCAAGUCACACCCAGGUUUUGGCCUCGCAAAUCCGCCUCUGCUCCCAGCUGGCACCUGAGUAUGCAGGUCGCAGCCCGCGAUUUAGAAACACCGGCACCCGGGUGAACGCCCACGGCUCCUCAGCUUUCGCUGCACCGACGUCUGCACCACGCCCGUCAAGCUCAGCUGCAUCCUGACUCUGGGUUGGAAACUUCGUGGUGGAUGAUGCCUGUAACUACCCAGAUGAAAUCAAGACGCAACAGCCCUCAUCGAGGGAUGCUCAGAGUCAAGGAAACUUUUCUUUUGAGCUACUGACAGCUUAACUCCUGUGAACAAAAUUUGGAGCAUAUUUGUUUCUCUCUGCCUGAUUUCUCCAAAAUUUGGAAACUAUUUGCUCCUAGGUGGAAGGAACUCACCUUGUCUUAAAUGAGACUUUGGACUAUGGACUUUUAAGUUUAUGCUGAAAUGAGUUAAGAAUUUGGGGGACUGUGGGGAAGGUAUGAUUGGUUUUAAAAUGUGAGAACAUGAAAUUUGGGAGGGGUUGGGGGCAGAAUGAUAUGGUUUGGCUGUGUCCCUACCCAAAUCUCAUCUUGAAUUGUAGCUCCCAUAAUUCCCGCCUGUCAUGGGAGGGAUGCAGUGGGAGGUAAUUAAAUCAUGGGGACGGGUCUUUCCCAUGCUGUUCUCAUGGUAGUGAAUAAAUCUCAAGAGUUCUGAUGGUUUUAUAAAUGAGAGUUCCCUUGCACAAGCUCUCUCUUUGCCUGCCACUAUGUAAGAUGUGGCUUUGCUCCUCCUUGCCUUCCUCCAUGAUUGUGAGGCCUCCUCAACCAGGUGAAACUGUGAGUCAAUUAAACCUCUUUCCUCUAUCAAUUACCCAGUCUUGAGUGUGUCUUUAUUGGCAGCAUGAGAGCAGACUAGUAUACUUUGUUUAUCUUAUAAUCAAG